AAGCAACGUUGGGCCUGGUUAGUACUUGGAUCGGAGACGGCCUGGGAAUCCCAGGUGUUGUAGACAUUUUUGUUUUUUUCUUUUAAUCUUUUACAAAUAUAAGUAUUUUUGGCUUGUAGAUAGAUAGAUCAAUUUAAAAAUCUUGCAACUGUUAGCAGAAGCAAAAAGAUAAAAGAAAAUGAUGAAUUUAUUGUAACAAUAAUAUUUGCUAUUUGUCAAUUAAUGUUAUUUGAAAAGUAAAUAAGAUUUAGAAAUGAAUGUUUAUGUGUUUUGUAAACGAUAUACUAUUGCACAUAUAUGUAUUGUUGAUGGAAUAGAAAAUUUUUACUUUAGAAUUUUGAAAAAUUUAUUUCAUUUUUAAACACUUUGAAAAUGUUUCUCGGUUUGAAACGCUAACUCACUCAUUUUAAAGAGCAACAAUGUAAGAACUGAAAGUGGGAGAAUUUUUCAACGGUUUAAUUACCCAAGUUUGAGGUAAUUGAAUGUUUCAGCCCAGAGUUUCGGCUCAUGUGGCUUGAAGAUAAAUUUUGGAACGUCCUGUGCUAAACGGGACAACAAAAAUGAAUGCAAAACGGAAAUUAAAUACACUUUUUUUUUUCCUCAGUUGAACAAUUAAAAACAUUUGUAAAAGUAGAUAAAUUUUACAAUGUAACAUGUAAAAGCAUAUAACAUUUAUUGAUAAUAUGCAUUGUAUAUAAUGUCUACGACCAUACCACAUUGAAAGCACGACAUCUCGUCCGAUCUGUC
rnacentral:misc_RNA from 1 species